rnacentral:rRNA from 1 species
UACGGAGGGGGCUAGCGUUAUUCGGAAUUAUUGGGCGUAAAGGGCGUGUAGGCGGCUUCGUGUGUCCCAUGUGAAAGCCCUCGGCUCAACCGGGGAACUGCAUGGGAAACUGCGGAGCUUGAGUCCGGGAGAGGAGAGUGGAAUUCCCAGUGUAGCGGUGAAAUGCGUAGAUAUCGUAAGGAAGACCAGUGGCGAAGGCGGGUCUCUGGACAGUUCCUGACACUGAGACACGAAGGCCAGGGGAGCAAACGGG